rnacentral:piRNA from 1 species
UAGAUUUCCUGGAAGCCAACCCCUGCC